rnacentral:rRNA from 1 species
GGGUACUCGAGUGGCGAACGGGUGAGUAACACGUGGGUGAUCUGCCUUGCACUCUGGGAUAAGCUUGGGAAACUGGGUCUAAUACCGGAUAUGAACUGCCUUUAGUGUGGUGGUUGGAAAGUUUUUUCGGUGCAAGAUGAGCUCGCGGCCUAUCAGCUUGUUGGUGGGGUAAUGGCCUACCAAGGCGUCGACGGGUAGCCGGCCUGAGAGGGUGUACGGCCACAUUGGGACUGAGAUACGGCCCAGACUCC